GAGUUUGAUCAUGGCUCAGGAUGAACGCUGGCGGCGUGCCUAACACAUGCAAGUCGAGCGAUCUUCUUCGGAAGAGAGCGGCGGACGGGUGAGUAACGCGUGGGUAACCUGCCUCAUACACAUGGAUAACAUACCGAAAGGUAUGCUAAUACAAGAUGAUAUAAGAGAUUCGCAUGGAUUUCUUAUCAAAGCUUUUGCGGUAUGAGAUGGACCCGCGUCUGAUUAGCUAGUUGGUAAGGUAAUGGCUUACCAAGGCGACGAUCAGUAGCCGACCUGAGAGGGUGAUCGGCCACAUUGGAACUGAGACACGGUCCAAACUCCUACGGGAGGCAGCAGUGGGGAAUAUUGCACAAUGGGCGAAAGCCUGAUGCAGCAACGCCGCGUGAGCGAUGAAGGCCUUCGGGUCGUAAAGCUCUGUCCUCAAGGAAGAUAAUGACGGUACUUGAGGAGGAAGCCCCGGCUAACUACGUG
rnacentral:rRNA from 1 species